rnacentral:rRNA from 1 species
UGGGAAUCUUCCGCAAUGGACGAAAGUCUGACGGAGCAACGCCGCGUGAGUGAAGAAGGUUUUCGGAUCGUAAAACUCUGUCUUUUGGGGCGAACGUGAGUAUGGUGAACAAUCAUAGUCAGUGACGGUACCAAAGGAGGAAGCCACGGCUAACUACGUGCCAGCAGCCGCGGUAAUACGUAGGUGGCAAGCGUUGUCCGGAAUUAUUGGGCGUAAAGAGCGCGUAGGCGGGAUAGUCAGUCUGUUGUAAAGUGCGGGGCUCAACCCCGUGAUGGCAAUGGAAACAGCUAUUCUUGAGUGCAGGAGAGGAAAGUGGAAUUCCCAGUGUAGCGGUGAAAUGCGUAGAUAUUGGGAGGAACACCAGUGGCGAAGGCGACUUUCCGGACUGUGUCUGACGCUGAGGCGCGAAAGCCAGGGGAGCGAACGGGAUUAGAUACCCCGGUAGUCCUGGCCGUAAACGAUGGGUACUAGGUGUGGGAGGUAUCGACCCCUUCCGUGCCGGAGUUAACGCAAUAAGUACCCCGCCUGGGGAGUACGGUCGCAAGACUGAAACUCAAAUGAAUUGAC